UACAGAGGGGGCAAGCGUUGUUCGGAAUUACUGGGCGUAAAGGGCGCGUAGGCGGCCUGUUAAGUCGAACGUGAAAUCCCCGGGCUCAACCUGGGAACUGCGUCCGAAACUGGCAGGCUCGAAUCCGGGAGAGGGAUGCGGAAUUCCAGGUGUAGCGGUGAAAUGCGUAGAUAUCUGGAGGAACAUCGGUGGCGAAGGCGGCAUCCUGGACCGGUAUUGACGCUGAGGCGCGAAAGCCAGGGGAGCAAACGGG
rnacentral:rRNA from 1 species